CAAACCGUACCGCAAAUCGGCACGCACCGUCGGUGACGUGAUCGGUAAAUACCAUCCGCACGGCGAUCAGUCGGUCUACGACGCGAUGGUGCGCAUGGCGCAGGAUUUUUCCAUGCGCGUGCCGCUGAUCGACGGGCAGGGNGCUCGGUCGACGGCGAUAUGGCGGCUGCGAUGCGUUACACCGAAGCGCGCCUGCAAAAGGU
rnacentral:misc_RNA from 1 species